rnacentral:rRNA from 1 species
GGGCCGCACGCGCGCUACACUGAUGCAUUCAACGAGUUUCCUUGGCCGAGAGGCCUGGGCAAUCUUUUGAACGUGCAUCGUGAUAGGGAUAGAUUAUUGCAAUUAUUAAUCUUGAACGAGGAAUUCCUAGUAAGCAUAAGUCAUCAGCUUGUGCUGAUUACGUCCCUGCCCUUUGUACACACCGCCCGUCGCACCUACCGAUUGGAUGGUCCGGUGAAGACUCGGGAUUGU